rnacentral:rRNA from 1 species
AACGAACGCUGGCGGCGUGCCUAACACAUGCAAGUCGCGCGAGAAAGCGGGGGCAACUCCGUGAGUAAAGCGGCGCACGGGUGAGUAAUACGUAGGUAACCUACCCCCGAGACCGGGAUAACCCUCCGAAAGGAAGGCUAAUACCGGAUGAGACCACGGAGCCUCGGCUCUGCGGUCAAAGGUGGCCUCUAUUUAUAAGCUACCACUCGAAGAUGGGGCCUGCGCACCAUUAGCUAGNGGCGAGGUAACGGCUCACCAAGGCGAAGAUGGUUAGCUGAUCUGAGAGGAUGAUCAGCCACACUGGGACUGAGACACGGCCCAGACUCCUACGGGAGGCAGCAGUAAGGAAUAUUGGUCGAUGGAGGCAACUCUGAACCAGCCAUGCGCGUGAAGGAUGAAGGUCCUCUGG